rnacentral:rRNA from 1 species
UACGGGGGGAGCAAGCGUUGUUCGGAUUUACUGGGCGUAAAGGGCGCGUAGGCGGUCGUGACAAGUCACUUGUGAAAUCUCCGGGCUUAACUCGGAACGGUCAAGUGAUACUGUCGGACUAGAGUACAGAAGGGGCAACUGGAAUUCUCGGUGUAGCGGUGAAAUGCGUAGAUAUCAGGAAGAACACCAAUGGCGAAAGCAGCUCUCUGGGACGGUACUGACGCUGAGACGCGAAAGCGUGGGGAGCGAACAGG